rnacentral:rRNA from 1 species
UACGUAGGGUGCAAGCGUUGUCCGGAAUUAUUGGGCGUAAAGAGCUCGUAGGCGGUUUGUCGCGUCUGCUGUGAAAACCCGAGGCUCAACCUCGGGCCUGCAGUGGGUACGGGCAGACUAGAGUGCGGUAGGGGAGAUUGGAAUUCCUGGUGUAGCGGUGAAAUGCGCAGAUAUCAGGAGGAACACCAGUGGCGAAGGCGGUGCUCUGGGCCGGAACUGACGCUGAGGAGCGAAAGCGUGGGGAGCAAACAGG